rnacentral:rRNA from 1 species
GUGGGGAAUUUUGGACAAUGGGCGCAAGCCUGAUCCAGCAAUGCCGCGUGCAGGAAGAAGGCCUUCGGGUUGUAAACUGCUUUUGUACGGAACGAAACGGUUCUCUCUAAUACAGGGAGCUAAUGACGGUACCGUAAGAAUAAGCACCGGCUAACUACGUGCCAGCAGCCGCGGUAAUACGUAGGGUGCAAGCGUUAAUCGGAAUUACUGGGCGUAAAGCGUGCGCAGGCGGUUUUGUAAGACAGAGGUGAAAUCCCCGGGCUCAACCUGGGAGCUGCCUUUGUGACUGCAAGGCUGGAGUGCGGCAGAGGGGGAUGGAAUUCCGCGUGUAGCAGUGAAAUGCGUAGAUAUGCGGAGGAACACCGAUGGCGAAGGCAAUCCCCUGGGCCUGCACUGACGCUCAUGCACGAAAGCGUGGGGAGCAAACAGGAUUAGAAACCCCAGUAGUCC